rnacentral:rRNA from 1 species
CGCUACAGCCAUGCCACCCUGAACCUGCUAGAUCUCGUCUGAUCUCGGAAGCUAAGCAGGGUCGGGCCUGGUUAGUACUUGGAUGGGAGAUCAUCUAGGAAUACCAGGUGUUGUAGGCGC